rnacentral:rRNA from 1 species
UACGUAGGGUGCAAGCGUUAUCCGGAAUUAUCGGGCGUAAAGAGCUCGUAGGCGGUUUGUCGCGUCUGCUGUGAAAACCCGAGGCUCAACCUCGGGCCUGCAGUGGGUACGGGCAGACUAGAGUGCGGUAGGGGAGAUUGGAAUUCCUGGUGUAGCGGUGGAAUGCGCAGAUAUCAGGAGGAACACCGAUGGCGAAGGCAGAUCUCUGGGCCGUAACUGACGCUGAGGAGCGAAAGCGUGGGGAGCGAACAGG